GAGAGAGGAGGAGGCGGCUUCCGCAACUUUUGGUCAAGCUUUUGCUUGCAAAAGGUUGCGAGGAAAGUCCCCCCACCGCUGAACAUACGAGUGCGUGCAAGCGCACAGGGCGAGAGUCCUGGCUCUGGCGCAGAAACGAUACCACGCUGCGUGAAUACAAUGAUACAUUAAUGUUGAGGCUGCGCAGAUUGUGGGUGAAACGGCGAAUCCUCGUAGGUGCAAGCCAAAAGAUGGGCAAAAGUUCAGCUAAUGCCCUGGUAUGGCGCUUAGACGAAUGCCGUCGAAACCAAAGGGGGCUUACCCUCCCCACUC
rnacentral:RNase_P_RNA from 1 species